CUCUCCCCCUCAAGUCCUGACCACACCCCUUUCUUUCUCCCUCUCGCUCCCUAUCUCUCACAUGAAAAUUAGCUUUGAAACCCUAGCCAUCGCCGUGUCUCAUGGGUUUUUCACUAUCUUGAUGGUUACUUGAUGGAAAGGAAAACAAAUAUGGGAAGAAGAUGAUCCCUCUGUUUUGAGCACCGAAACCCUUGCCAUCACCAUCAUCCUCAUGACCCAAAGAUUUGUUCUCUACGAUUUGGAUUUUUUUUUUUCGAUUUGGGUUUGUUUAGCUUUUGUUCUCUAUUACGGCUUGUGUAGUUUUUGUUCAGGCUAGAUCUGUUGCAUCCUUCUUCAGAUAUUUUAGGAUUUUUUCCUAUUGUUAUUUUGUUAAUUUGGAUAUGUUUUGAUGAUAAUGUUUGAAUGUAAAAUAUUUAAAAAAAUAUUUUUGUGGGUCAAAUAUGUGCUAGCAUAUUUACUGUGACUUUCAAGAGAUGCACUAGUUUGACAUCUUGUAGCCAUGUUAAAUUACCCAUCACCAUGCACAGCCCCACAUCUAAUAGAGCACAAUAGCUCAUAUUUAUUUUCCACCAUCUAACAUAGCACAAUAGCGCAAUAGCAUAUUUCCUUUUUGGAUGUUGGUAGAUGGAUAUAGUGACUAUACUUGAUUUUUUGGAUUUGCCAUUUAUCUUAUUGUUACCUAGGGAAUACUUUCAUGUAUAGAAUCUAUAUACUCCCUCUUAUUGUUUGUUUAAAUUGUACUCAUCAAACAGUAUAUUGAUCAUCUCUGGGCUUAAUCAAGAAGGUACUACAUCUUUCUAUCAACUUUCUAAAUGCUAAACAGAUGCAAUUUUCAAAUAGGCCCACUGCAUUAUGAGUUGUCUUCCAUGAGAAAAAAGCCAUUUUUAAGUGCAUUUUAACUAGCAUUAAAUGUUGAAGUGAUGGCUCUAAUAAUUAACUUGAAUUCGCAGUCAGAGAAGCGUAAAAAAGAUUUCUUGGCCAAAAUGGUGUUGGAGGAGCAUCGUGAUUGGGAGCUAUCUAAGAUUGUGAACAAAUUGCUUCUUGAUCCAAAGAAAACUACGGAGGAAAAACCUUCACAAGCCAGAAAGAGGGUAAAAGCAAGUUAACUUUUUAGUUUACAUGGUUUUGCCAAAGGAGUAAUGAUCCUACUCCUCAAUCAUGCAAGAGUAAGUCAAAGCAACCCAUAACUCCAAUCAGCUUAUGGGAUGCAACUCAAGUACUCAUUCUUUUCCCAGUUGUGAUUCUUUUGGGGUGGGGUGGGGUGGAGGUGAUUAGGUAAAGGCCUGCUCAGAGAUUGGAAUAUGCUUUAAUUGCUUUCAUUUUGCAUAAACAUACCUCUUAAUGUUUAGUUUUUGCUUCAUGGGCUGUCAAAGCAUGCCUACUAUUAGUUUCUAAACCUAGGCUUAAAGAAAAAUCUAUUUGCAAGCUCGCUUAUUGGUACAGAAAACAUGUCACUAAUGUAAAUGACUACUGCACCAUCUGGCAUACAUACUGACGUAUAAGUAGUAGAACUCUUGCUUGUAUGUUUGUUUCUUCAUACUUAUUGUAAUUUUUUCGAAUGAUUCAUUGUUCCCUUUUUUCGCUCGAUAAGUAAAUAAACCCUUGAGACUCAUAUUUCCUUGAACCACAUUAAUAGGAGGUGUCCAGUGCCCAAAAUCAAGGUAAUCGUUUCACGAGCAGUUGUGGGAGCUGGAGCUUUAAGUCAUAAGAUUAGAUAAGCUUGGACCAACAAUGGUUAUUCUGAGACAGGAAAUUCAUCAUAAACUAAAUUCAAUUGUGGAGGAAUGCAUUGAUUGCAUGAAACACGCAUAUUAUGUAUUGGUGGCUCUAUGUAAUCUACUUUUGAUAUGGAAUUUCAUAUAUUGUAGUUUGGUUUUUGUAAUGUAAUGUAUA